CUGCUACAGGGGCUCCCAGCGGCCUCCCGCACCGAAGGGACUCUGGGCGUCUGAGGCCCUGAUCCGGGCGGGCCUUCAGGAUGUUAGCAGUCCCCGUCCGGUUGAAGGUAGGAAGCCGAAAACCCGAGUGGGGGACGAACAGACUUACCUCCUGUCCCGCAAAAGAUCCACUAGAUCGUCGUCUCCAAAACCUGAGAGACCGCGAACGGAUUCCAGAGCCGCAGCGUUGUCUCAGACCUGGCGUUCAGAAAGAUUCUAGAGAGCACGGGCAGGUCCCGGAGGUCUCAGACCCGCAGGCCUGCGGGGCGGGGGCGGGGUGGCGCCCAGGACGACUCUCCGGGCUCAGCUUGGCUGCCUGCCUCCUUCUGUAAGUGUUUUUUUUUUUCUUCACCUGGGACCCUCUAGAGGUUGGAAAGAGAAGAGAGGCUGGGAGCGGAUGGAAAGCAUGACUGCAUCUGGAGCCCCUGGGGGGAGUGGGGAAGAGGGAGUGGAAGGACAGUGGCUGAGGGGCUUCCUGUUGCAGCCUUCAGCUGGACUCAGGGUUGGGAUCACUGGAGGAGGAGGUGGCUUCCUGCCCCAUUGUUCUGGACUGCAGUGUUUCUUGGGAAUACUUACUGUAUGUGGAUUUUCAGUAACCAACUUGGAAAGCUAUAUUUGUUCCCAUGAUUCAGCAAACAAUGAGUACCUACUGUGUGCAGAAGCAGCAGGACAGCCUGUCAUCACUGGGAAAGAGGCCAGAAGAGCCAUUUGGCCAGGGUCUCCAAUUUAGGCUUUCAACAUUAUCUCUAAAUAAGGUUAUACAUUACGUCGGCUCCACUGGCUGAUGGGAUCAAAGACCCUCCUUGUAUAUCCUUAAACCUGUACUCUAAUACCAGGCCACUGUGCCUGUGGAGCACUGUAAGUUCCUACCUUUUAAUAAAUUUUAUAAUUAUCUUGUGAGCAGCACAGUUGUCAUAGUUUUUUGUAUCAAAAACAUUCAUUUGUUAAACAUUUUAAAA
rnacentral:antisense_RNA from 1 species